AUUUCACGAUGACAACAACUGCUUUGUUUUUGGUAUGCACCUUUGAUGUGUCCUUGCAGUGCCCCCGCUGAAUCCCCUGUAGCACCGCGUGUGCCCGUCUUUGUGAUGGCUCACUGAAAGUGCAGCCCUUUUUCUUUCAACUCUUGAUGUUGUUCCGUGAGCUGUGCUUAAAUUCGGCAGCCAAGCCAGCUGGCUUCAUCACAUCGAAGAGUCAUUCGACCUGACCAGAAGAGUCAUUCCACCUGACCAGAGUGUAUCUCUUCUCCUCGUGACGGACCGCGGUAGCAGUCACCAUGUCGCCACUUCUGCUGAUGGCCUGCGUGCUCAGCUUGUUCGCGUCUUCGGUCAUGUGCAUUGAGAGUGACGGUUGGAAGACAUUCGGCACGGGUUGCUAUCGCUUCUUCGGCAUGCGCAAAACUUGGUCUGAGGCCGACAAAUACUGUGUCCAAGAGGGUGGUCACCUGUCCAGCUUCCACUCACACCCAGAGUUGGCGUUCUUGAAUGAAGGCCUGAGCGGUGGCUCCGCGAACACGUGGGUGGGAAUGAAAAUCCAGUGGUCCAGAUUUGGAAGCUUUUUGUGGUGGGAGAAAUCCCUUUCAUUUAGUGAUGGAAGCGCUGCGGACUACCUCGACUGGGACCCCAAGCCAUGGUACCAUGAAUGCGUUGUGGUGAGAGGAAACGGACGUUUCACCCACAUGGCUUGCGGCACAGCCCUGCCAUUCAUCUGUAAAAAAGCCGUGGCUCCCCUUGUCGUACCUGUACAUGUCCUGCGUGUACCUGUGAUAAGUGUUCUUGUCCCAAGAGGCCGUGUCCUACUUGUAGUUGUCCUGAGUGUCGUUGUGCUACUUGUGCCCCUCCUACCACCUGCCCUCCUGUUCCCCCUCUGCCCUGUCCGACUCAUCCUCCUAUGACUACCUGUCCCAGUCUUCCCACUUGUCCUCCCCCCAGCUGCCAGGUAAUGUCACACACUGGAGUGAAAACUCUUCUCUGACGCACGUGCCUGAUGACAUGGAAGGUCCGGGACUACUUCUUUUGGCGCCUCAUCCGGUUGAUCUUCGAGCUGGUCGCGGCCAACGACACUGCGCUGCAACUGGCCUUUCGCAUGCAAGACAAAAAGAUUCUUCUGACCGCCGACCUGAAUGGGACCAA